AGCUUACCAUCCAACUUUUCGGUGAGGAAGCGCCUGCAAUCGGAUCAAAUCCAUUGGAAGAUCGGAGACAUUUUAGAGGAAGAAGAUGCAUCAGAGAUUCAAAAUUCGGGCUCUUCUAGGCUAAGGGAUCUAGCUUAGAAACGAUCCACUUCAAGGAAACAGCCCCUGCAGAAACCCCACAUCAUCAACAAACUAAAUCAUGGAAACUGGUCUGCACUGUAUAACAAGUACUUAUACUCGUUACAAGGUGAGGAGAACCAUGCGAUCAAAACGUCGGGAUUUCACCAUGGCUAGUGCCACUACUCUCAUAUUCCUCUUGUCAAUCCGUUGGAAGCAAACAAAAGAAUUGAGUUUACAUUCUAGAGGAGACAAAAGCUAACAAUGUGAUUUGGACGAUAUUUUAAAAUUAAAGAAAAACAUAAAUGAUGUUAUGUACAUACAACUGAUACAACAUUUUCUCUGCAAUCACAUGAUAAUGAGCUGCUCGUAUCUUUUCUCUCUACAUCCAAAGCAUUCUUUGU